AUGAACGCUGGCGGCGUGCCUAAUACAUGCCAGUCGAGCGAACAGACGAGGAGCUUGCUCCUCUGACGUUAGCGGCGGCCGGGUGAGUAACACGUGGAUAACCUACCUAUAAGACUGGGAUAACUUCGGGAAACCGGAGCUAAUACCGGAUAAUAUAUUGAACCGCAUGGUUCAAUAGUGAAAGACGGUUUUGCUGUCACUUAUAGAUGGAUCCGCGCCGCAUUAGCUAGUUGGUAAGGUAACGGCUUACCAAGGCGACGAUGCGUAGCCGACCUGAGAGGGUGAUCGGCCACACUGGAACUGAGACACGGUCCAGACGCCUACGGGAGGCAGCAGUAGGGAAUCUUCCGCAAUGGGCGAAAGCCUGACGGAGCAACGCCGCGUGAGUGAUGAAGGUCUUCGGAUCGUAAAACUCUGUUAUUAGGGAAGAACAAAUGUGUAAGUAACUAUGCACGUCUUGACGGUACCUAAUCAGAAAGCCACGGCUAACUACGUG
rnacentral:rRNA from 1 species